rnacentral:rRNA from 1 species
UACUUUGAGAAAAUUAGAGUGCUUAAAGCAGGCAUAUGCCUUGAAUACUCCAGCAUGGAAUAAUAUUAAAGAUUUUUAUCUUUCUUAUUGGUUCUAAGAUAAGAAUAAUGAUUAAUAGGGACAGUUGGGGGCAUUUGUAUUUAACAGCCAGAGGUGAAAUUCUUAGAUUCGUUAAAGACAAACUAAUGCGAAAGCAUUUGCCAAGGAUGUUUUCAUUAAUCAAGAACGAAAGUUAGGGGAUCGAAGACGAUCAGAUACCGUCGUAGUCUUAACCAUAAACUAUGCCAACUAGAGAUUGGAGGUUGUUCCUUACUC